GCAAAUCUUUCGGUUGAUCUGCAGCCAGCUCGGUUCCGCAGUAAAACACCUUGUCAGGAGCCUGGAGAAGAUACGAGAUGAGGAGGCGUCUCUAUCCGAGGCCUACGACAUGCCCAGUCAGUGGAUGCAGGUCCUCUUUCAUUUGGUCUCAGGGAAAAUUAGGCGCGAUUUACUAAUUUAUUAUCGUAGUAUUAUGUCUGCAAGGAGCUCCUUCGCUCGUGCGAACAAUCACUCAUUGCUGGCAGCUCUAUCCACCUCGCGCUACUAGAUCCUGCGGGGUGAAGAAAUCUUCCGUGUUCAGUCUGUGUAGUGCCCAUUCCCCGGGAGCGUAUCAGUUAUCAGGGGUCGUUAUUCGGGCUGUAAUGAUGUGGUAGCAUGCACUGUGCAGGGUGCUGGAGUACAUCUGCCUUCAGUUAUCUCUGUAUUAGUUUGGAUUCUGUUGCUUAACAUAUAUACCGAGAAAGAAAAUAUGUUCUUGUUCU